NNNNNNNNNNNNNNNNNNNUAGNAACUGCGAGUGAAGCGGGAAGAGCUCAAAUUUGAAAUCUGGCGGUUCUGCCGUCCGAGUUGUAAUCUGGAGAAGCGUUUUCCGUGCCGGACCGUGUACAAGUCCCUUGGAACAGGGCGUCAUAGAGGGUGAGAAUCCCGUCUUUGACACGGACUCCCGGUGCUCUGCGAUGCGCUCUCGAAGAGUCGAGUUGUUUGGGAAUGCAGCUCAAAAUGGGUGGUAAAUUCCAUCUAAAGCUAAAUAUUGGCGAGAGACCGAUAGCGAACAAGUACCGUGAGGGAAAGAUGAAAAGCACUUUGGAAAGAGAGUAAAACAGUACGUGAAAUUGUUGAAAGGGAAACGCUUGGAGUCAGUCGCGUCUUCCGGAACUCAGCCUUGCUUCUGCUAGGUGCACUUUCCGGUUCGACGGGUCAGCAUCGGCUUUGGGAGGCGGACAAAGGCGCGGGGAAGGUGGCAGCUCCGGCUGUGUUAUAGCCCCGCGUUGUACGCGUCUCCCGGGACCGAGGAAUCCGGCGCUCGUCGCCUGGGAUGCUGGCGUAAUGGCUUUAAGCGACCCGUCUUGAAACACGGACCAAGGAGUGCUACAUGCUCGCGAGUGUUUGGGUGGAAAACCCGAGCGCGCAAUGAAAGUGAAAGUCGAGACCCUUUGCGGGGGCACCGACGCCCGAGCCUGAAGUUUACGGACGGCCUUGCGGUAGAGCGAGUAUGUUGCGACCCGAAAGAUGGUGAACUAUUCCUGAGGAGGGCGAAGCCAGAGGAAACUCUGGUGGAGGCUCGUAGCGGUUCUGACGUGCAAAUCGAUCGCAGGACUUGGGUAUAGGGGCGAAAGNCUAAUCGAACCNNNNNNNNNNNNNNNNNNNNN
rnacentral:rRNA from 1 species